rnacentral:rRNA from 1 species
UACAGAGGGGGCAAGCGUUGUUCGGAAUUACUGGGCGUAAAGGGCGCGUAGGCGGCCUUCUAAGUCGAACGUGAAAUCCCCGGGCUCAACCCGGGAACUGCGUCCGAUACUGGAAGGCUUGAAUCCGGGAGAGGGAUGCGGAAUUCCAGGUGUAGCGGUGAAAUGCGUAGAUAUCGGGAGGAACACCAGUGGCGAAGGCGGCUUCCUGGCCCGUUCUUGACGCUGAGGCGCGAAAGCUAGGGGAGCAAACGGG